AGUUUGAUCCUGGCUCAGGAUGAACGCUAGCGGGAGGCCUAACACAUGCAAGUCGAACGGGAUUGAGAGCUUGCUCUCAUGAGAGUGGCGCACCGGGUGAGUAACGCGUAUGCAACCUGCCUGUAACAGAGGGAUAGCCCAUAGAAAUGUGGAUUAAUACCUCAUAGUCCUGGAUGGUCGCAUGGCCGUUCAGGUAAAACUCCGGUGGUUACAGAUGGGCAUGCGUGACAUUAGCUAGUUGGUAAGGUAACGGCUUACCAAGGCAACGAUGUCUAGGGGUUCUGAGAGGAUGAUCCCCCACACUGGUACUGAGACACGGACCAGACUCCUACGGGAGGCAGCAGUGAGGAAUAUUGGUCAAUGGGCGCAAGCCUGAACCAGCCAUCCCGCGUGAAGGAUGAAGGUCCUAUGGAUUGUAAACUUCUUUUAUACAGGAAGAAAAAUCUCUACGUGUAGAGACUUGCCGGUACUGUAUGAAUAAGCAUCGGCUAACUCCGUGCCAGCAGCCGCGGUAAUACGGAGGAUGCAAGCGUUAUCCGGAUUCAUUGGGUUUAAAGGGUGCGUAGGCGGCUUUUUAAGUCAGUGGUGAAAUCCUGUCGCUCAACGAUAGAAUUGCCAUUGAUACUGAAAAGCUUGAGUUCAGUUGAGGUAAGCGGAAUGUGUAGUGUAGCGGUGAAAUGCUUAGAUAUUACACAGAACACCGAUUGCGAAGGCAGCUUACUAAACUGACACUGACGCUGAUGCACGAAAGCGUGGGGAUCGAACAGGAUUAGAUACCCUGGAGUCCAA
rnacentral:rRNA from 1 species